UACGUAGGGUGCAAGCGUUGUCCGGAAUUAUUGGGCGUAAAGAGCUCGUAGGCGGUUCGUCGCGUCGGCUGUGAAAACCCGGAGCUCAACUCCGGGCCUGCAGUCGAUACGGGCGGACUUGAGUGUUGCAGGGGAGACUGGAAUUCCUGGUGUAGCGGCGGAAUGCGCAGAUAUCAGGAGGAACACCGGUGGCGAAGGCGGGUCUCUGGGCAGUAACUGACGCUGAGGAGCGAAAGCGUGGGGAGCGAACAGG
rnacentral:rRNA from 1 species